rnacentral:rRNA from 1 species
AGUGAACGCUGGCGGUAGGCCUAACACAUGCAAGUCGAACGGCAGCACAGUAAGAGCUUGCUCUUACGGGUGGCGAGUGGCGGACGGGUGAGGAAUACAUCGGAAUCUACUUUUUCGUGGGGGAUAACGUAGGGAAACUUACGCUAAUACCGCAUACGACCUACGGGUGAAAGCAGGGGAUCUUCGCACCUUGCGCGAUUGAAUGAGCCGAUGUCGGAUUAGAUAGUUGGCGGGGUAAAGGCCCACCAAGGCGACGAUCCGUAGCUGGUCUGAGAGGAUGAUCAGCCACACUGGAACUGAGACACGGUCCAGACUCCUACGGGAGGCAGAAGUGGGGAAUAUUGGACAAUGGGCGCAAGCCUGAUCCAGCCAUACCGCGUGGGUGAAGAAGGCCUUCGGGUUGUAAAGCCCUUUUGUUGGGAAAGAAAAGCAGCAGGUUAAUACCCCGCUGUUCUGACGGUACCCAAGGAAUAAGCACCGGCUAACUUCGUG